rnacentral:rRNA from 1 species
GAUGAACGCUGGCGGCGUGCCUAAUACAUGCAAGUCGAGCGAACGGACGAGAAGCUUGCUUCUCUGAUGUUAGCGGCGGACGGGUGAGUAACACGUGGAUAACCUACCUAUAAGACUGGGAUAACUUCGGGAAACCGGAGCUAAUACCGGAUGAUAUUUUGAACCGCAUGGUUCAAAAGUGAAAGACGGUCUUGCUGUCACUUAUAGAUGGAUCCGCGCUGCAUUAGCUAGUUGGUAAGGUAACGGCUUACCAAGGCAACGAUGAAUAGCCGACCUGAGAGGGUGGUCGGCCACACUGGAACUGGGACACGGUCCAGACUCCUACGGGAGGCAGCAGUAGGGAAUCUUCCGCAAUGGGCGAAAGCCUGACGGAGCAACGCCGCGUGAGUGAUGAAGGUCUUCGGAUCGUAAAACUCUGUUAUUAGGGAAGAACAUAUGUGUAAGUAACUGUGCACAUCUUGACGGUACCUAAUCAGAAAGCCACGGCUAACUACGUG